CGGUGAGGUUGAAAUGGCCCAGGUGAGGUUGGGACGGCCCCAGUGAGGUUGAAACUGCCCCAGUGAGGUAGGGAUGGCCCCGGUGAAGUUGAAACGGCCCCGGUGAGGUCAGGACGGCCCUGGUGAGGUUGAAACGGCCCCAGUGAGGUCGGGACUGCCCCGGUGAGGUUGAAACGGCCCCGGUGAGGUAGGGAUGGCCCCGGUGAAGUUGAAACGGCCCCGGUGAGGUUGAAACGG